CAAUUGUCAGAGGUGAAAUCCUUGGAUUUAUUGAAGACUAACUAUUGCGAAAGCAUUCGCCAAGGAUGUUUUCAUUAAUCAGUGAACGAAAGUUAGGGGAUCGAAGACGAUCAGAUACCGUCGUAGUCUUAACCAUAAACCAUGCCGACUAGGGAUUGGAGGAUGUUCCGUUUGUGACUCCUUCAGCACCUUUCGGGAAACUAAAGUCUUUGGGUUCCGGGGGGAGUAUGGUCGCAAGGCUGAAACUUAAAGGAAUUGACGGAAGGGCACCACCAGG
rnacentral:rRNA from 1 species